rnacentral:misc_RNA from 1 species
GUGAAUCAUCGAAUUUUUGAACGCAAAUUGCACUCUCUUCGGAGAGUAUGCGUGUUUGAGGGUGAGCCUAUAAAAUUCGACAUAGUUGCUGUUUGGCGGUGGCGUUCGUCGGAUAUUGGGAGAUCCUACAUACUUUUGAUUUAAGCGAGUUAAAAUUUUUUUUUGGUUCCCUGAACGUUUCUAAGAUAUAUUGCUUAACACGUUUAAGGUAUCGAU